AGCGAACGCUGGCGGCAGGCUUAACACAUGCAAGUCGAGCGGACCUUUCGGGGUCAGCGGCGGACGGGUGAGUAACGCGUGGGAACGUGCCUUCCGGUUCGGAAUAACCCUGGGAAACUAGGGCUAAUACCGGAUACGCCCUUAUGGGGAAAGGUUUACUGCCGGAAGAUCGGCCGCGUCUGAUUAGCUAGUUGGUGGGGUAACGGCCUACCAAGGCGACGAUCAGUAGCUGGUCUGAGAGGAUGAUCAGCCACACUGGGACUGAGACACGGCCCAGACUCCUACGGGAGGCAGCAGUGGGGAAUAUUGGACAAUGGGCGCAAGCCUGAUCCAGCCAUGCCGCGUGAGUGAUGAAGGCCUUAGGGUUGUAAAGCUCUUUUAUCCGGGACGAUAAUGACGGUACCGGAGGAAUAAGCCCCGGCUAACUUCGUG
rnacentral:rRNA from 1 species